rnacentral:rRNA from 1 species
UGCCAGUCUAACGGUGACAGGUCUUCGGAUGCUGACGAGUGGCGAACGGGUGAGUAAUACAUCGGAACGUGCCCGAGAGUGGGGGAUAACGGAGCGAAAGCUUUGCUAAUACCGCAUACGAUCUCAGGAUGAAAGCAGGGGACCGCAAGGCCUUGCGCUCACGGAGCGGCCGAUGGCAGAUUAGGUAGUUGGUGGGAUAAAAGCUUACCAAGCCGACGAUCUGUAGCUGGUCUGAGAGGACGACCAGCCACACUGGGACUGAGACACGGCCCAGACUCCUACGGGAGGCAGCAGUGGGGAAUUUUGGACAAUGGGCGCAAGCCUGAUCCAGCCAUGCCGCGUGCAGGAUGAAGGCCUUCGGGUUGUAAACUGCUUUUGUACGGAACGAAAAGACUCCUUCUAAUAAAGGGGGUCCAUGACGGUACCGUAAGAAUAAGCACCGGCUAACUACGUGCCAGCAGCCGCGGUAAUACGUAGGGUGCAAGCGUUAAUCGGAAUUACUGGGCGUAAAGCGUGCGCAGGCGGUUAUAUAAGACAGAUGUGAAAUCCCCGGGCUCAACCUGGGAACUGCAUUUGUGACUGCAUAGCUAGAGUACGGCAGAGGGCGAUGGAAUUCCGCGUGUAGCAGUGAAAUGCGUAGAUAUGCGGAG